GUACCAUAGUAUUUCAUGUGAAUUUUCGGCUGCCGAACCGAUGAAGUACGUGCGUACUUCAUCGGUUAUUAAUGAUAGCCAGGGCUCCAUAUUUCUCGGUUUGUAUGGUUUUGAUUUACGACAGUGACAAAUUGACUAAUUGGCACCUUGUGUUUCAAGGCCGUUGGGCGGUGGUGGCGGGGGUGGUGAUGUGAAUUGCCGCCACCCCUCAGUGUGAUUUGACAGUGACACGCGUUGCGUCAUGGCGUCUUUGUUUUCCUCCAGCAGUGAUUCUGAGAGUUAUACCACUUUUGACGAUGACUUGCAAGGAUCAAACGAUAUUCCAACACAAUCAGAAGGCCUCGCAAGUGAUUCAUUUACAUUAACUACCUACACGAAAUUAUGAGAAGCGCUCGAAAAACUCGGUCCGGGGGAAGGGGGUUGGUACGCGUCGGGAUCAUGGAGUCGGUAACGAAGGGGUUAAUCAUCUGUGGCCUUUCAAACGAAUAAAAAUCCUGGAACACACACACACACACACACACACACACACACACACACACACACACACACACACACACACACACACGAGUGGUCAUGUGUGUGUGAGAAGGAUCCGGGUCAAAUGUCAAGCAGGCUGAGGUGAGCAGUCUUGAAGCAGAGGAAAGGAUCCAAGUGACUGCAGAACAAAACAAGAAGCAAGAACAAUUAAGAUGAACACUAGCCACACCAAAGAACUGUUACUGCUGGCACCACCACCACCAUCACCACCACCACACACACACACACACACACACACACACACACGAGUGGUCAUGUGUGUGUGUGAGAAGGAUCCGGGUCAAAUGUCAAGCAGGGUGAGGUGAGCAGUCUUGAAGCAGAGGAAAGGAUCCAAGUGACUGCAGAUACCUUGGAAGGAAGGUGAUGGUGAGGAACAGUGAAGAAAGAUGACGGAGCAGAAACAGGCCCACACCAUCCUGGAAUGUGCUGCAAAUAAUCUUGGUUACCGGCAAAGUAAAGAGAUAAAGAGAUAGAUAGAUACAGAGAUAGAUAAUUAUUAGUAAGAGUGAGAUUAAGAUAGAUAGAUAAUUAUUAUUAAGAGUGUUAGUUAGAUAGAUAUAUACAGAGAUAGAUAAUUAUUAGUAAGAGUGAGAUUAAGAUAGAUAAUUAUUAUUAAGAGUGCUAGAUUAUUAUAUUCUUAUUAUAUUAUUAUUUUAUUUGUGUGUGGUGUGUGUGUGUGUGUUCUCUUUUCAGAAGUGUGUUUGGAAUGCAAGAAAUAUACAAGACCACAGAAGAUUCUAUAGUGGUGGUGGUGGUAGUAGUAGUAGUAAUAGUAGUAGUAGUAGUAGUACUUUAUCAAUAUACAGGGCAUUA